rnacentral:rRNA from 1 species
GAGUUUGAUCCUGGGCUCAGGAUGAACGCUAGCGACAGGCUUAACACAUGCAAGUCGAGGGGCAGCAUGAUUUGUAGCAAUACAGAUUGAUGGCGACCGGCGCACGGGUGAGUAACGCGUAUGCAACUUACCUAUCAGAGGGGGAGUAGCCCGGCGAAAGUCGGAUUAAUACCCCAUAAAACAGGGGUCCCGCAUGGGAAUAUUUGUUAAAGAUUCAUCGCUGAUAGAUAGGCAUGCGUUUCAUUAGGCAGUUGGCGGGGUAACGGGCCCACCAAACCGACGAUGGAUAGGGGUUCUGAGAGGAAGGUCCCCCACCAUUGGUACUGAGACACGGACCAAACUCCUACGGGAGGCAGCA